rnacentral:rRNA from 1 species
GAUGGACGCUAGCGGCAGGCCUAACACAUGCAAGUCGAGGGAGAGGUUACCUUCGGGUAACCACUACCGGUGCACGGGUGCGUAACGCGUAUACAAUCUGCCUUUCCCUUAGGGAUAGCCAGAAGAUCUUUGGAUUAAUACCUAAUGGUAUAUAAAAGCGGCACCGUUUUUAUAUUAAAGCUACGGCAGUGAAAGAUGAGUAUGCGUUCUAUUAGCUAGUUGGUGAGGUAACGGCUCCCCAAGGCGACGAUAGAUAGGGGUUCUGAGAGGGAUGUCCCCCACACUGGUACUGAGAUACGGACCAGACUCCUACGGGAGGGAGCAGUGAGUAAUAUUGUACGAUGGUCGGAAGACUAAUCCAGCCAUGCCGCGUGCAGAAGGAAGGUCCUAGGAAUUGUAAGCUACUUUUGAAAGAGAAGAAUAAAAGCUACGAGUAGUUUGAUGACGGUACCUUACGAAUAAGCAUCGGCUAACUCCGUG